UACGGAGGGUGCAAGCGUUGUCCGGAAUCACUGGGCGUAAAGGGCGCGUAGGCGGCCCGGUAAGUAGGGGGGUGAAAUCCUGCGGCUUAACCGCAGGGCUGCCUUCUAAACUGUCGGGCUCGAGCACGGUAGAGGCAGAUGGAAUUCCCGGUGUAGCGGUGGAAUGCGUAGAGAUCGGGAAGAACAUCAGUGGCGAAGGCGGUCUGCUGGGCCGUUGCUGACGCUGAGGCGCGACAGCGUGGGGAGCAAACAGG
rnacentral:rRNA from 1 species